rnacentral:rRNA from 1 species
GUCAGAUGUGAAAGACCCGGGGCGUCAACCUCGGAAUUGCAUUUGAAACUAGGCAAACUAGAGUACUGUAGAGGGGGGUAGGAAUUUCAGGUGUAGCGGUGAAAUGCGUAGAGAUCUGAAGGAAUACCGGUGGCGAAGGCGGCCCCCUCGGACAGAUACUGACACUCAGAUGCGAAAGCGUGGGGAGCAAACAGGAUUAGAUACCCUGGUAG